rnacentral:rRNA from 1 species
AGUGAACGCCGGCGGUAGGCCUAACACAUGCAAGUCGAACGGCAGCACAGUAAGAGCUUGCUCUUACGGGUGGCGAGUGGCGGACGGGUGAGGAAUACAUCGGAAUCUACUUUUUCGUGGGGGAUAACGUAGGGAAACUUACGCUAAUACCGCAUACGACCUACGGGUGAAAGCAGGGGAUCUUCGGACCUUGCGCGAUUGAAUGAGCCGAUGUCGGAUUAGCUAGUUAGCGGGGUAAAGGCCCACCAAGGCGACGAUCCGUAGCUGGUCUGAGAGGAUGAUCAGCCACACUGGAACUGAGACACGGUCCAGACUCCUACGGGAGGCAGCAGUGGGGAAUAUUGGACAAUGGGCGCAAGCCUGAUCCAGCCAUACCGCGUGGGUGAAGAAGGCCUUCGGGUUGUAAAGCCCUUUUGUUGGGAAAGAAAAGCAGCAGGUUAAUACCCCGCUGUUCUGACGGUACCCAAAGAAUAAGCACCGGCUAACUUCGUG